rnacentral:rRNA from 1 species
AUUGAACGCUGGCGGCAGGCCUAACACAUGCAAGUCGAACGGUAACAGGAAACAGCUUGCUGUUUCGCUGACGAGUGGCGGACGGGUGAGUAAUGUCUGGGAAACUGCCUGAUGGAGGGGGAUAACUACUGGAAACGGUAGCUAAUACCGCAUAACGUCGCAAGACCAAAGAGGGGGACCUUCGGGCCUCUUGCCACCGGAUGUGCCCAGAUGGGAUUAGCUAGUAGGUGGGGUAACGGCUCACCUAGGCGACGAUCCCUAGCUGGUCUGAGAGGAUGACCAGCCACACUGGAACUGAGACACGGUCCAGACUCCUACGGGAGGCAGCAGUGGGGAAUAUUGCACAAUGGGCGCAAGCCUGAUGCAGCCAUGCCGCGUGUAUGAAGAAGGCCUUCGGGUUGUAAAGUACUUUCAGCGGGGAGGAAGGGAGUAAAGUUAAUACCUUUACUCAUUGACGUUACCCGCAGAAGAAGCACCGGCUAACUCCGUG